UCUCCGUUGGUGAACCAGCGGAGGGAUCAUUAUCGAGUUUAUAACUCCCAAACCCUAUGUGAACUUACCACUUGUUGCUUCGGCGCGCGCUUCGGUGCCGCCGAGGACACUUAAACUCUUUGUUUUUAUAAGCAUUUCAGAGUGGCCGAAAGGCAAAAUACAAAUGAAUCAAAACUUUCAACAACGGAUCUCUUGGUUCUG
rnacentral:misc_RNA from 1 species